rnacentral:rRNA from 1 species
AACGAACGCUGGCGGCAUGCCUAACACAUGCAAGUCGAAUGAGACCUUCGGGUCUAUUGGCGCACGGGUGCGUAACGCGUGGGAACCUGCCCUUAGGUUCGGAAUAACUCCCCGAAAGGGGUGCUAAUACCGGAUAAUGUCUUCGGCCCAAAGAUUUAUCGCCUUUGGAUGGGCCCGCGUUGGAUUAGCUAGUUGUUAGGGUAAAAGCCUACCAAGGCGACGAUCCAUAGCUUGUAUGAGAGGAUGGUCAGCCACACUGGGACUGAGACACGGCCCAGACUCCUACGGGAGGCAGCAGUGGGGAAUAUUGGAAAAUGGGCGAAAGGCUGAUCCAGCAAUGCCGGGUGAGUGAUGAAGGCCGGAGGGUUGUAAAGCGCUUGUACCCGGGAUGAUAAUGACAGUACCGGGAGAAUAAGCUCCGGCUAACUACGUG